rnacentral:tRNA from 1 species
GGUGGCUCAGUGGUAGAGUACUUGCCUUGCAUGCGUGAGACCCUGGGUUCAAUUCCCCAGCACCA